rnacentral:lncRNA from 1 species
UGAGUUCUUCAAUUCAAAUAAAUUAGAGGUCUUUUUUCAAAUGAAAAGUCCAAAUUCUAAUUUACAUAAAGAUAAAAAUUGCACACUAAGAAUUCAAAGCAUAUUACAAAUUGAAAUGCAAACUAGAAAUUCAAAGUACCUAACUAAAAAUUGAAAUGCAACCCAAAAAGUACAUAACUAAAAAUCUAAAUGCUACCUAGAAAUUCAAAGUACAUAAUUGGAAAUUGAAAUGCAACCUAGGAAUUUGAAGUGCAUAACUAGAAGUUGAAAUGCAACCUACAAAUCGAAAGGACGAUAAGUAUUAUAAUAGGUGGAGUUGUGUGCAUCAUCCCCACCACUAGUGUCAUUGUCACCACCAACAUCACUAGCUUCCCUAUCAUAGAUGACAUCUUGUUGACGUUUAAAAAUCUUCCUCUUCCUCAGAGUUAGCUAGCUUAAAUCAAUUUCCAAAAUCUCCAUAUCCUUAUCGUACAAUACAUUUUCUCUUGCCCUUCUUCUCAUGGGCAAUUCUUCAUCCUCUAUCUUCCAUUGCCUCCGUUCACACUCCAUCUUGUGGUCUUUGUGGAUAGCCCUACUCUUCAUCCUCUCAUCAAGAAGAGCACUUAGAGCCAACAAUGCUUCCCCUUGUUGGGCACGCUCCUCCGACGAAUCAUCCUUGACUUUCCCUGUUUUGGACUCUUUGCUUAUAACGUCCUUCGGGUCUAGACAACCUCCUAGGUGGAGUACCAUCUACAAUCGGACUUGCUUGCUCAAGGAUAACGAACGAGCUCGAUUAGCCAUCCAUAGGUUGAACGGGUGCCACGUUGAGUGCCGGAUCGGGAUGACAUUUAGGACAACGUGAGAGGGUGUUCCAACAAUGUUCAUCUUUGAAGACUUUAUCUUUAUUGUCACACUUGUAAAUCAUCUUUUCCAUAUACAUCUACAUACAUUAUAUAGAGAAUAUUACUUAUAAGCAAGUGGAAAAACUAAACAAUAUUCAUAAUUUUGUUUGUGACUUACCACAUCAUCUUCGGUUUGGCUAUUAGAUCGUUGCUCAUUGGCUUUCCUCAAUGCCCCCUUCCAUGAGCUACACGUAUUUCCAAUAGAUUUCCAUCAUGAACCCAUUGAUUGUUGGAAGCGGUCGGAAUCCGGCAUGAUCGGUUUGAACGUCUCUUUGAUCCUAAUCCAAAACUUCCGAACUGGUUGCUCAUCGUCUAUGUCUUCAACACGCGAUAUUUUGCACCAAAUUUGACAUAAAGCUUUGUCUUCAUCAAUGCACCAAAUGACCCCCUUUUUUGCUCAUUGUGAAAAGGAAAAUAUGGGGAAAAAUGUAUAAAGAAAGUGUGUAAAGAAAAAUUAUAGAGAAUGAAAAAUGGGUUGUGGUGUAUGAAUGGGUG